rnacentral:misc_RNA from 1 species
GUGAAUCAUCGAAUCUUUGAACGCACCUUGCACCCCACGGCUUUCCGUGGGGUACGCCCGUUCGAGUGUCACGUUAACCAUCGGGAGGGUUCAGCUCGCUGAACUCUCGCGGACUUGGACGUUGCCGGCGAAAGUCGGCUCGUCUCGAAAUGCAUUAGCUAGAGUGCUCGCAGGCACGGCGUUGAUAACUUCUACGUCUUGACUUCGGACUCCCUGCUUCCAAUCGUCUUCGGACAAUUUCACAAAGUUUGACCUCGAAUCGGGUGGGACUACCCGCUGAACUUAAGCAUAUCAAUAAGCGGAGGA